UAACUACAUUAUAAAAUAAAUGUAAGAUUUAUAUGAAUAAAACGUUCCUAUAUGGGGCUAGAGAAAUGGCUCAGCAGUUAAAAGACCUCUGGACUAUACUUCCAGAGGUCCUGAGUUCAAAUUCCAGCAAUCACAUGGUGGCUCACAACCAUCUGUAACAGGAUCUGAUGCCCUCUGCUGGGGUGUCUGAAGACAGCUGCAGUGUACUCAUAUAAAUAAAAUAAAUAAAUCUUAAAAAACAAAAAAACAGAGGAACCUAUAAGGGGGCGAGUCAGCAGGGAAAGGUGUUUGUCACCCAGGCUGACAACCUGAGUUCGAACUCUGUGACCCAUGUAAUGGGAGGACAGGCUCCACGCCCAGAAGUUGUCCUCUGACUUUCACAUUCAUACUAUGGCUUGCAUGUGUGCACAUGCACACACAUAAAUAAAUAAAGGUAAGAAUGAUGAUAAAUAAUAAUAGUGAUACCUAUGCUAGCUCUGCUGGCAUGGGUCUGCAGUGCCACUGGGAAGGCUGAGGUAGGACAGAGAGUUUGCGACCAGCCUCCACGACAACAUCAGCUACAAAAUUUAAAGAAAGAGAAAGGAAGAAAAAAAGUAAAAGAGAAAGAUCUUUAAUAAGCAGAGGCAGAGUUUAAAUGCCCGAGUGGCUGGAUGAUAAUUCGUUUGGUGACAUACUUGUCUCAGAAGAGUAAGGGCUGAGUCCAACCUCCAGAAGGCACAUUUUAAAAGCUGAGUAUGGUGAUAUCCACUUGUACAUAGCGCUAGGGAGACAGAGACGCCUUGCAGGUCCUUGGGGCCUGGGGCCCGGGGCCCAAGUAGCCUGGUCCCACUGAAAUCCUCUGUGUAACUAAAAUGCAUAGCUCUUAGGGAAGAACACUGGAGUCUGGUCUCUCUGGCCUUCACCUACAGGUACCCACAUGGGCCCCUCAUGUGCACACACACCUUGUGCACAUACACAUGUUCAUACACACCUCAUGCAAAUGCUCACACAUGUGCGCUCACACUCACUCACAGAAAUGCCGGACAUCUAAUAAAAGGUGAGCAGAUAUACAAGGUCUCAAAAAGACAUGAUUCAUGGAUAAUCAAUCAACUGAAAUGACUCAGAAGACGAUUCACGGAGAGGUAUUAGAAUUAGCAGUCAAUAUCAAUACAGUAAUUAUGGCUGUGUUUCUUCUCGGGCUUUUAAAAUAGUAAUUAAUGUUUAUUUUCUAUUAAUCCUGAAAAUUGGAAUACAGCAUCAUGGGUUCAUGGUGGACUCUGCCCAGUGCCCUUACACGCCGUUCUCAUUCAUUUUCGCCUCACUGCCCUUCCUAUGCCAGCCCCCUCCUCUCGCUCCCCUCCUCCUCCUGGCGGCUUUCCUGUCACAUGCAUUCUGCUGCACUCCUGCUCGUCUGUCACCUCUUUUAAGCAUUCUUCCUCGCACAUAUAAAUAUACAUGGUUAAAUUUAAACUUAGGUCCUCUGUGUGACAGAAAACAUGGCAUUUGUCUCGAUCUAAGUUUGCUCACAUAAUGAUCUCCAGUCGCAUCUAUUUUCCUGAAAAUGUCAUAUUUUAAUUUUUCUUAAUGACUGCAUAAAAUUCCCAUUUUCUUUAUCCAUUCAUCCACUGAUGGACAUUUUUUUUAAGAUUUAUUUAUUUAUUAUAUGUAAGUACACUGUAGCUAUCUUCAGACACUCCAGAAGAGGGAGUCAGAUCUCAUUACGGAUGGUUGUGAGCCACCAUGUGGUUGCUGGGAUUUGAACUCCGGACCUUCGGAAGAGCAGUCGGGUGCUUUUACCCACUGAGCCAUCUCACCAGCCCCUGAUGGACAUUUAUAAAGGCUAAUUCUACUUCCUAGCUAUCAUGAACAGUGCAGCAGUAGACAUAGCAGUACAUAGGUCUCCUUUUUUUUUUUUUUUUUUUUUUUUUUUUAGAUUUGUUUGUUUUGUUUUAGAGACAGGAUUUCUCUGUGUAGCCCUGGCUUUCCUGGAACUCUCUCUGUAGACCAGGCUGGUGUCGAGCUCAGAGACCUGCCUGCCUCUGCCUCCUGAGUGCUGGGAUUAAAAGCAUAUGCCACCAUGCCAGGGUAGAUUUAUUUUUAUUUCAUGUGUAUAAAUGUGUGUGUGUGUGUGUGUGUGUGUGUGUGUGUGUGUGUAUACAGUACCUGAUGAAGCCAGAAGAAUACAUUACAUUAGAUCCCCUGGAACUGGAGUUACAGACAAUUGUGAGCUGUCAUUGUGGAUGCUAGAAACUGAAGCCAGGUCCCCUGGAAGAGCAGCCAGUGUUCUUAACCACUGAGCCACCUCUCCAGCCCCACAGGUUUCUUUUUGAUAUGUUGACUUAGAAUUCUCUGGGCAUCUACACAAGCUAGCGGAGCUCAGUCUUUGAGAUAGCUCUGCUUUCCUUUCUGCAGACCCUUCAUCCCAGCUGCCAUGGUGACUGCACAAACUCAUUCCUCUUUUCCCCACACAAUCCUCAGCAUUUGGCCUCAUCCGGCUCCUUGUUGGUGGCCCUUCUGACUCAGACAAGAUGAAAUCUCCAGACCUCCUGACUACUGGUAUCACAGGCAUGCACUGCCCCCAGCCUGGACACUUAUUGGUUAGAGGGAAUAUUUUUGUUUUGUUUGUCUUGAUUUGAUCUGAUCUGAUUUGAUUUGAUUUUUAUUUUAUUUUUUCAAGACAAGGAACUCACUCUGUAGACCAGGCUGACCUCGAACUCAGAAAUCCGCUUGCCUCUGCCUCCCAAGUGCUGGGAUUAAAGUCGUGCGCCACCACUGCCCAGCUGAGGUGAUUUUCUAUGUGAUGGUGAGUUGCCCACGAUAGAAAAGAGGAAAGGCUCUUGUCCAUUGAGAAUGUCCCCUUGGCCUAUUUGGCUUCGGGGGAUUCCACAGAAGUCCAGAACACCUUCCCGCAGAUUUAAGAACUGGCAGCCGCCCGGUGGCUUUUAAGUGGCUGAUGCAUUACCGGUUUUCUUUUUGUUUUUUGUUUUGUUUUGUUUUUUUCUUUUUUUGGUUUUUCGAGACAGAGUUUCUCUGUGUAGCUCUGGCUGUCCUCACUCUAUAGACCAGUCUGGCCUCGAACUCAGAGAUCCGUCUACUUCUGUCUCUCAAGUGCUGGGAUUAAAGGCUGUGCCACCACUGCCUUUCUUUUUGUUUUAAGGAGAAGUUAGAUAGAGAGUCUUUGCCUGUUGUGGGCUGUUGGGAUUUAGACAGAGGCCAGAGGAACCUUCAACCAACACUAGAGAGUAGCUCUGGCCAGGAGGCUUCAGUUGCCCCUUUAGUUUGUCUAAAUCCACGCAAUGGUGCUGACAGAAAGCACAGUAGGAAAAGGCAGAUUAAUGGUUUCCAGAGUGUGUGGGGGGGGUUCACCUUCCUGCAGUAUUGGGUGCAGUCGUAUCUGUUUGAGCCUCAUGUCGGUGCCAGAUGUGGGCCUGAGUACCAGAGACUUUCUAAGGAGAUUUCUGACCAGACCUGGUGCAGGGGUUCCGGCGGCAAAAGGAAGCGAGUGCGGGCAGGGAGGCGAAGUCUCUGCCAUGCCUUCCAGGUUACUCGGUAACUCCGAGCUGAGCCGAGCCGAGCCGCUCUGCACUGAGUUGGCUUCCAUUGGGCCACUAGCGAGCGAGGAAUGCGGCAGAGCCUCAGGCAGCGCUUCAGGAGAGCAGAUCUCUUCCCCAGCGAGUGUUAUAGCUCUUGGAACAAAAGGCUCAGACGACCGAGUAGUUCUCACACCCCUUUAAUUACCUGGAUAGAAUUUAUAUACAGUUCUGGGGGUGAUUCAGGGUUCCACAGCAAGUACCUUUUAUUGGCUUGGACUGAGAGCCAGGGGAAAACCUUAUUUGCAUGUGGGAAGGCUUGGUGCUGGUUCUACCUGACUGAUAGCCACACACCUCUCCUGUGGGUGUUGGGGGGGCAGAGGGGCUGUGAGGGCAGUAACUUCGAUAGGAGCCAGGGGCCCAGGAGACAUGAUCAAAUACCUUCUGUCCCAUGUAGAUGAAAAUCAUGACUCAUCGGGUCCCCAGAGUUCCAGACCUUUACUCCACUGGAGACCAGGCUGUCUGUGUGUAGCUCACUGCCCCACAGUGGGAGCCACCACAGCCUGACUCAAAUUCUUUUAUUUUCUUUUUUUUUUUUUAAGAUUUAUUUAUUUAUUUAUUUAUUUAUUAUAUGUAAGUACACUGUAGCUGUCCUCAGACACUCCAGAAGAGGGCGUCAGAUCUUGUUACAGAUGGUUGUGAGCCACCAUGUGGUUGCUGGGAUUUGAACUCCAGACCUUCGGAAGAGCAGUCGGGUGCUCUUACCCACUGAGCCAUCUCACCAGUUCCCCCCCCCCUUUUUUUAAAGAUGUAUUUAUUUAUUAUAUGUAAGUACACUGUAACUGUCUUCAGACACUCCAGAAGAAGGAGUCAGAUCUCCUUAUGGAUGGUUGUGAGCCACCAUGUGGUUGCUGGGAUUUGAACUCAGGACCAUUAGAAGAACAGUCGGGUGCUCUUACCCGCUGAGCCAUCUCUCCAGCCCCUGGCUCAAAUUCUUUACCCUGUUGCUAUUGAUGUAUGAAGGUUGUGCAGAACUGGCCCGACCUCUCACCUGCUCUUUCUGGAAGAGCUGGCCCUGAAGAGAGCCUCAGAGCUGACCCCAACCCUGCACAACUGCAGUACUAUGAACAGCAGGUCCCACUAUCACUCAGGGAGCACAGUAGAGCUGGCCCUGGUUGCAGAAGUUGCAGAUGAGCCAGCGCCACUGGUGUGAGCAUGGGAGGGCUGGCCCUGCCACCUGUCUCCUGGGAAGUGGCACGGAUGAGGGAGAAGGGAGAGAUGCUCUCCCCCUAACCCCCCUUGCCACCUACCACAGGCGAAGAGCUGGUCCCAAGGCUGUCAGAGUGGGAGAACUAGACCUGCCCCUCACCUGCUGCAGCACAGUAGAGCUGGCAGAAACAUGCGUGAGCUGGCACUGCGGGCAUGAGCGUGGGAGAGCUGGUCCCAGCAACUUGUCUGCUGUUUGAGGCAGAGAUGAUGAUGAUGGCAGGGCCUCAUCAUGGCCCUGAUGGAGGAGAGAUGCCCCCUUCUCCCAUCCCUCCUCGUCCCUAGUCACCUAUGACAGGUAGGAAAACUGGACCUGUCCCUCACCAGGAACAGCACUCAGGAGAGUAGGCCUACAACUUGUCUGGGCAGCACAGUAGCCAUGGUCCUGAUGGCAUGAGCACCAGCGGUGAGCCACCCGGUAGGCAUGAGACCAUGAGAACCUGAGAGCUGGCUGUGGCAUUGGACAACCUAGCCAGGCAGCGCUGGAGACCCUGCCCUGGUAGUGUGGGAGCAGAAAAGCUGGCAGGCUGACCAGCCCGGACACCUCUCAGGCCCAGAUGCAGGGCUUUGAGUUGGCCCACCCCAACAUCUACCCCAUUGAUGAACAGCUGGAGGGCAUGGGCCAGUCCUACAGAUCUAAAACUACAGGAUCUCCAUAACACCGGCAACGACAGGAUAUCCAGGAGGAAUCUCAGUGAAGUCCCAGGAAUGAUAGAGUAGCAGAAGUCAGGUAGGUGCCUUGCAACAGACCAAUGACUCAUUGCAGUGGACAUUUGCAAGUAGAGAAGUGUGCUGUGGGACACACUGUGACACACUACAGCUUCCACAGUGAGGUUUUUUUUUGUUUUUUGUUUUUCUUUUAGGGAGAGGUUGUAAGGGUGGAGAGUGGAUACUGGGGGUUUUGGGCUCAUGAUGUGAAAGUCACAAAGCACCAAUAAGAAAUUAAAAACAAAACAACAUUUUAUAAGCACAAUUAAUACAAGAUGAUACUUUAUAAAAAAAUCAGAAAAAUUUGAGACAUGGCAAAGGGAAUCAUUAAAAAGAACAAAACAAAACAAUAAGGGGCUGGAGAGAUGGCUCAGCAGUUAAGAGCACUGAUUGCUCUUCAGAGGUUCUGAGUUCAAUUCCAAGCAACCACAUGGUGGCUCACAACCAUCUGUAAUGGGAUCUGAUGCCCUCUGCUGGUGUGUCUGAAGACAGUAUACCCACAUACAUGAAAUAAAGAAAUAAGUCUAAAAAAAUACAGUAAGAAAAAAAAGGAAUAAAAGAAGGUAAAAAUAUAAAAACACGUGCCUGUAGGCCUAGCAUUUAUUAGACGAAAAGAGAAGUAUUAAGAAUUCAAGGGUAGUGCCGGGCAUGGUGGUGCAAGCCUUUAAUCCCAGCACUUGGGAGGCAGAGGCAGGCGGAUUUCUGAGUUCAAGGCCAGCCUGGUCUACAGAGUGAGUUCCAAGACAGCCAAGACAGCCAGGACUACACAGAGAAACCCUGUCUCGAAAAACCAAAAAAAAAAAAAAAAAAAAAAAAAAAAAAGAAUUCAAGGGUAGGAAGUCCCUCCCCGCAGCAGCCUGCAGGCCACCUGACAGGGUUCUCUGCCUCAGCUGCCCAUAGCACAGUUCUGCUCCAACCCACUGGCCCUGGGGGCCAUGACCUGUGGGCCACUGGCUGUGUGCUCCACAGUUUAGCCAUUCCCACGGCUUGCCUGCCAGUACAGUCUGAUCUCAGGCCACGGCUGUUAGCUCUUAUUCUAGUCCUAGCUGAAUGUUUCUUUGCUAAUACAACAAUGUACUUCUCUAUACCUCCGAAACUGUCAAAGUUACCUACGGUUCUCUUUCCUAUCCUGUCUUGAUGACUGCUAUCAAAUUCUAUUCAGUUAUAGCCAACCUACAGUGCUCAAUCUGUAAGAAAUUUGUUAAUUAUUAAGUUUGUGACAGUCAGAAUUCCCCAAAGCCUCUAAGGUUCCUCCCAGGAAGUCUCAGGAGAUGUGGACACAGCUGCAGGAUACUGCCUGGACUGUGAUGUGAUCACCACUGAAACACGCAGUGGACAGCACUCGAUACUCUGAGUCACGUGACCUAGCUAAAACCAAGGUAAGCCAUUUUUCACGUCACACAUAUCCAUUCCACAGAGAAAAAGCCUGCAUCUUCUGUGCUUGAAAGCCAGACUGACUGCCCAACUUGCUGUAGAGACCAUGGAGAUCACAGAGAACUGUUGGCUAGUAGACUCUGUCAUUUUUUAAAUAAUAUAACUGCUAAAUUAUUGUUUAUUCCCCAGACUUCUGGCUACAUUGACAGCUAGAGAAAAAAACUUUCACAGAUGUAAUCUGUUAUCUCCUUACCUAAAUUCUGUUUCCAUUGAUUAAAUGCUUCAUACUUCCUCUUUUUGCUAUGCCACUGUCCUAACAUUAUCUGAGUUCCUAUAAAUUUGCCUAACUCUAAUAAAAUAUUCCACUAUACAAUCAAACUUUUUUUUGUUUGUUUGUUUUGUUUUUCAAAACAGGGUUUCUCUGUGUAGUCCUGGCUGUCUAGGAACUCACUCUGUUGACCAGGCUGGCUUCAAACUCAGAAAUCCACCUGUCUCUGCCUCCCAAGUGCUGGGAUUAAAGGCAUGCGCCACCACUGCCCAGCUCCGAUUGAACUUUUUAAUCUUAUUCCUUCUGCUCCACAAAAGGCUCAUCUUAAAGACAAUUCAUGUGGUUAACUCAUGCUGUUAUCUCUUUUAUAAACUUAUAAGUUACAGGAAACCCAGUCAGAUCUACCUCUCAUGGACCAAAUAGACUCCACCCAGAUACGUACAUCUGCCUAACCUAUUCCAGAGGGUGGGAUUUCUCUGGGUUUCAAAUGUACAUCUUAAGAAAAAAAUUGUUUUUCUCUCAAAUGUAUUUACUCUUAUUCUCUACCUAUAAUAAUGUGUUUCAGCAUCUUGUCAAGUCCAGGUGCUUACUACACCCAGGACAGCUCCAGAGAAGCAACCUUCAUAUGCUCCAAUCUCCUCUCAUAGACACACAUUCCUACUGGACCUGUCCCUUCUGACCUAUCCUCAGAUGGCUCCACAGACCCUGGACAGCAAAGAGGCAGCCAACUCUCCUAAGACUGGAUAAACAUCCCCCAUAACUGAAAGAUCCUGACAGAAUGCAAAAGGUCACAGAAGCCCUGAAAUUGGCAAAAUAGAUUUCAUGGCUAGCAGAACUAGCUUCACUGAUUUAGAAAAAUAGAGGUGCACAAUGCUCUGGCCGCUCCUUGAACCCGUGUGUCUGCCAAUGUUCUGGCCGCUCCUUGAACCCGUGUGUCUGCCAAUGUUCUGACCGUUCCUUGAACCCAGGUGUGUGCCUACUGCUGCACCUCACUGCCAGGUGUUUGUGAUAUUGGUUGCUGGGACAGAGUCGGAAAAUCUCCCCAGCAACCACAGCCCGGCCAAUCCUGAAUUGCUGCACCUGCUCCAGACUCUUUCCUUGUACCCCUCCCAUACCCAUUUCUUGAGAAUAGACAUUGUUUAGAUCUGGAAAUCCCCUACUCCCCCCUUCUCCUUUCCCCCCUGAGGACCUAUACUGGAACCCCUUUCCCCUCGGGGUUGACUCCUCCUCUACCCCUGUGUGGGAUAUGAGUCGUCCCCAGAGCUCUGGCUUUCCCGAAUAAAGCCUCAUGUGGUUUGC
rnacentral:lncRNA from 1 species